UACGGAGGGUGCAAGCGUUACUCGGAAUUACUGGGCGUAAAGCGCACGCAGGUGGCUGAGUCAGUCGAUUGUGAAAGCCCUGGGCUUAACCUGGGAAUUGCAGUCGAUACUACUCAGCUAGAGUAUGGGAGAGGGCAGUGGAAUUCCCGGUGUAGCGGUGAAAUGCGCAGAUAUCAGGAAGAACACCUAUGGCGAAGGCAGCACUCUGGGACGGUACUGACGCUGAGACGCGAAAGCGUGGGGAGCGAACAGG
rnacentral:rRNA from 1 species